UACGAAGGGGGCUAGCGUUGUUCGGAAUUACUGGGCGUAAAGCGCACGUAGGCGGGUUAGUAAGUCAGGGGUGAAAUCCCGGGGCUCAACCUCGGAACUGCCUUUGAUACUGCUGAUCUCGAGUCCGUAAGAGGUGAGUGGAAUUCCUAGUGUAGAGGUGAAAUUCGUAGAUAUUAGGAAGAACUGCAGUGGCGAAGGCGGCUCUCUGGUCCGGUACUGCCGCUGAGUCGCGAAAGCGUGGCGAGUAAACAGG
rnacentral:rRNA from 1 species